rnacentral:rRNA from 1 species
CAGUAGCCGCGGUAAUACGUAGGGUGCGAGCGUUAAUCGGAAUUACUGGGCGUAAAGCGCACGUAGGCGGAUCGAUCAGUCAGGGGUGAAAUCCCAGAGCUCAACUCUGGAACUGCCUUUGAUACUGUCGAUCUGGAGUAUGGAAGAGGUGAGUGGAAUUCCGAGUGUAGAGGUGAAAUUCGUAGAUAUUCGGAGGAACACCAGUGGCGAAGGCGGCUCACUGGUCCAUUACUGACGCUGAGGUGCGAAAGCGUGGGGAGCAAACAGGAUUAGAUACCCCCGUAGUCCCUGUCUCUUAUAA